CCUGGCGGAUGUUUUUUUCGCCUUCUUCGCAUCACGAUCGUGUGCUCAAUCUUCAGCAGCAAAGCUUCGAUCUUGUCCUAAAUCAUGACGCCUCUCCCCAAUCGUGCGCAGAGAGCGAAGAAGCCACUGAGAGCGCAGCGUAGAGGAGGGGCGAUUGCUGUCGGAUUGCUGGCUCUUCUUCUCGUCGGCAUGAUUCUUGUAGCCACCUUCAUGAAUUCUAAUGGUUCGGCUGGAUCACUGGCCCAAUCUGAUAGGAAGAGCGAAAGGAAUCAUGUUGUUGUUGUUGCAUCUGUUCGAUCCCAACCUACCGCGGAAUUCGUCAACAAGACCGAAGUCAUAUGACAAAUUCCCGAGUCCCCCCAGGACGUCGUCUUCAUUGCUCACGGUUGCAACUGCCGAGCUGCUAAGUUUUGGGAUCGAUCCGCUCAUUGCCCGCACUGCGUCAAUCUUCCAUAAGACAGGCUGAUUGUCCUCAAUGCUCUAGGUCGCAGGUUCGCCGUCAUCACUGUUUCCAGCCUCGGAAGAUGCUGGUCUAUCGAGAAGGACGUUGACAUUGCUAAAGGGAUACUACAAUGGUGGAUUGAGAACCAUGAGCUCCAAAAGCUUCCUGUCACAGCUCUGGGAGCUUCAUCUGGUGGUUAUUUUGUUUCUGCGCUGGCAAAGGAGGUGAAUUUUAGCAACGUAGCGCUCAUGAUUUUAGCUGGGUGUUCGGUUCCAUGGGUGUUCCAGUUGGGUAUCCUCCCACUCUCUUUGUCCAAAACUUCUGGUGUCAAAAAUAUCAGGAGUUUCAAAAUGUUGUAUGAGCAUCACUGUACUUUGAUCUACAACAAACAAUUCUAUCAAGACAUAUUUUUAAUACUAGGCAAGUUUGACGACAAUGCUCAAGGAAAUUCCCUACUAGAGUUCAAGGAAUUGGGUGAUCUCGAGUUACUACCAGAGAGACCGCCUUCAUUGACAGCACUGAAAUUGAAGAAGAUUUCAGGGAAAUAGAUUUUUGCAAGGUUUUCUCUAUACCCAAAAUUCAACUAAUAUUUGAUGCUUGUAUCAUAUAUUUCUUCUGUGUAAGAUGUUGAUCACCUAAUUAAGGUGGAAAAAUGCUCCCCCUUUAUGCUACAUUUUUUGAUUUCUCAAAUGCAUCUAUUGUCCAUCUAACAUAAUUCCCACAAACUUUUACAAAAACAUUGUCUUUACAACUACUCUAGAGUCGAGAGUCCUUUACAUCUUUUAUAGGAAUGCUUGACCUGUUUCUGUUGUGACCUUCACGAACUGAAAAAUUGAAGAAAUGCCAACUUAUAUGUGCUAUUAAUAUCUAAGAAUAAAGCUGUUGAUGUAACUGAUUUUGUUAUCCCCACCUAUUGAUGCAAAAGAACCAGUUGUUACCUCAACUAUAGAAUGAUAUUGUGUCAACAAGAUAGCUUAAAUUGUGCUGCCUUUGAUAUCUGGGAAAAUUGUUGGGUAAAAUAUGCUACCUUUUGUAUAGCGAAAGAUUUCUGUUCAAUAGAGAAACAAUAGGUAUUCAUAGCUUGAUAGAACAUAAAUUUCAGCUUGUGGCCCUAGCAAUUAUCUUUAUGUUUUCUCUCUUCUUGAGAUACUGUCAAAUUGUUGUUUGAAUUAGUGAUACAUUUUCAAACUUGGAAAUGAAUACUUAGUGGUAUGGAACCAUUAUUAUAACUAAUGCUCUCUUAGCUUGAGCAUCAUUAUUGUUUGUGAUCCAUGCCGUAUUAUUCUUUAUGAUCAGUUCUUGUCUCUACUGCGUCAUUAGAUGAAUAUGUCACAUAAUACCUCGUACAUACAACCUUUCAAUUGUUAUGUACUGAUUUCAAUAAUUUAGGCAAUCCAUCUAUAGGAUAGAACUGCCAUGGUUCUUUGAGUUAAAUAUCUUACUACGUGGAUCUGGCAUUUCAAGCAUAACUCUGACACAGAAACUGGUAGUAUAUGAAUGUUAUAAAAAAAAUUACUGCAAUGAGGAACAUAAUUAAAAUAAGAACAUGGUGCUAAACAACAUGAAUGCGUAAUGACUUAUGGUCCCACAUCAUUCAUCCAUCCUGCUAUUAGCCAUCAUCCGACCAGCUUCAUCUCCUCCAAGCAGCACUUCACUACAGAUAUGAUCCGGCACGAGCUUGAGGAUGCCCUAGCUCGGGUUGUAAACACCUUUAGGUCACUACUGUCAUUUCUAUUUGUAUGAACAAUUAGAUGGAUGUUCCAUUUCCUCAUACAAUUGGUGAAUUUGGAUUAGCUUGAUUAGAUAGUUAUUUUAUAGUUGAUUAAGUUGAUGAUUACUGUUUAUGUUUUAUUUGUGUUCAACAGUAGGUUAAACUAGGUUAGAUUACUGGCUUUCCAAUUUCAUAAGUCAAUUUACAUUUGCAUUUGUAGUUUAGUUUUCUUAAUUCUCUAUUCAAUGCAAGUAGGUGAUAGAUUUCAUUAAAUGCUUAAUUUCCUUAAUUGCUUAUUCUUUUUUAAUUCAUUACAAUUGUAGUUUAGGUUAGAUAGGUUGUAUUUAGUUAAUUGCUUUUAGCAUUAGCACGAAAACUCAAACCCCAUGUCCAAAUAAAUUAAUCCUAAGAUUUCAUUCUAGCAACAUUCCUUUUGAGAGACGACACAAAUCAUCUCUAUGCUAUAUUAGCGUAGAAGGGUUCAGUACUUAAAUUGUUUGUAAAUGUGUCAUGAUAAUACGUUUAUCAAAUUUGGCACCGUUACCAGGGAAUUGUAGCUAUAUUUGAUAAUUUUAAGAUUGUUUUCUGUUUUUACAUGAAAAUCUGAAGAAGAAAAAAAUGUCAACUACAAAGCCCUUAUCUGACCAGGAGGAUGCCCCAUUCACUUGUCUAUAACCUGCAAGUACAUUUCAACACGAUGAGGUAAGAUGGAUAUUGUUUCAGCUCUUCCUUAUCCUACAUGUGUGGAAGGUGUGUUCCUUCUCUGGCCAUGCAAGUUUUUACAGGACCUUGAACUGGAUAUUUUUAUUGAACCAUCUCUAACCACCAAGAACUAGAGGGAAAAUGGUAGAGGAAGCAGUGCUUAUCUCGGCUCAGAUCACUUCAACCGCCUAGGAGAACUUUUGAGGAUAUGAUAAUGGAGGGGGCAACAUGUAAUGAUAGCACGAAGGUCCUCUCCUCCACUGGGAUUAUUCCACUACCAGUGUGAAUUUUACUUCUGAAUCGUUUGUAAUCGUCAGGAAAUGCACCCAUAACUUCUUGUGUGCUAGUUGUUUGAUCUCCCACCGAGUUUGUGAUAGUCACGAUUAUAUUCCGCUUGUUAUUUCUCUUGACCAAGUUUUUGAAGAACUUGGUAUGUCGGUCACUAUGCUUGAGGUAUAUGCA